GAAACUCGUAAUCCCUCAGGCCCG
rnacentral:siRNA from 1 species